UACGAAGGGGACUAGCGUUGUUCGGAAUCACUGGGCGUAAAGCGCACGUAGGCGGAUAUGUCAGUCAGGGGUGAAAUCCCGGGGCUUAACCUCGGAACUGCCUUUGAUACUGAAGAUCUUGAGUUCGGGAGAGGUGAGUGGAACUGCGAGUGUAGAGGUGAAAUUCGUAGAUAUUCGCAAGAACACCAGUGGCGAAGGCGGCUCACUGGCCCGAUACUGACGCUGAGGCACGAAAGCGUGGGGAGCAAACAGG
rnacentral:rRNA from 1 species